AAAGAAACCAACAGGGAUUGCCCCAGUAACGGCGAGUGAAGCGGCAACAGCUCAGAUUUGAAAUCCGGCCCCCCCCGGGGCCCGAGUUGUAAUCUGCAGAGGAUGCUUCUGGCGAGGCGCCGCCCGAGUUCCCUGGAACGGGACGCCGCAGAGGGUGAGAGCCCCGUCUGGCUGGCCGCCGAGCCUCUGUGAAGCUCCUUCGACGAGUCGAGUAGUUUGGGAAUGCUGCUCAAAACGGGAGGUAUAUGUCUUCUAAAGCUAAAUAUUGGCCAGAGACCGAUAGCGCACAAGUAGAGUGAUCGAAAGAUGAAAAGCACUUUGGAAAGAGGGUUAAACAGUACGUGAAAUUGUUGAAAGGGAAGCGCUCGCGACCAGACUCGGGCGCGGCGGAUCAUCCGGCGUUCUCGCCGGUGCGCUCCGCCGCGCCCGGGCCAGCAUCGGCUCGACCCGGGGGACAAAGGCGCCGGGAACGUGGCUCCCCCCUCGCGGGGGAGUGUUAUAGCCCGGCGCGCAAUGCCCUGGGGCGGGCCGAGGACCGCGCGCCCCGUGCGCAAGGAUGCUGGCGUAAUGGUCGCCAGCGACCCGUCU
rnacentral:rRNA from 1 species